rnacentral:rRNA from 1 species
UACGGGGGGGGCAAGCGUUGUUCGGAAUUACUGGGCGUAAAGGGCUUGUAGGUGGCCAACUAAGUCAGACGUGAAAUCCCUCGGCUUAACCGGGGAACUGCGUCUGAUACUGGAUGGCUAGAGUGUGGGAGAGGGAUGCGGAAUUCCAGGUGUAGCGGUGAAAUGCGUAGAUAUCUGGAGGAACACCGGUGGCGAAGGCGGCAUCCUGGACCGACACUGACGCUGAGGAGCGAAAGCCAGGGGAGCAAACGGG